rnacentral:rRNA from 1 species
CGUGUAGGCGGUUCGUUAAGUCGGGUGUGAAAGCCCGGAGCUCAGCUCCGGAAGUGCGUCCGAAACUGGCGAGCUGGAGCGCGGUAGAGGAGGGUGGAAUUCCUGGUGUAGCGGUGAAAUGCGUAGAUAUCAGGAGGAACACCGGCGGCGAAGGCGGCCCUCUGGACCGUUGCUGACGCUGAGACGCGAAAGCGUGGGGAGCAAACA